rnacentral:rRNA from 1 species
GACGUAGGGCGCGAGCGUUGUCCGGAUUUAUUGGGCGUAAAGAGCUCGUAGGCGGCUUGUCGCGUCGACUGUGAAAGCCCGCGGCUCAACCGCGGGUCUGCAGUCGAUACGGGCAGGCUAGAGUUCGGUAGGGGAGACUGGAAUUCCUGGUGUAGCGGUGAAAUGCGCAGAUAUCAGGAGGAACACCGAUGGCGAAGGCAGGUCUCUGGGCCGAUACUGACGCUGAGGAGCGAAAGCGUGGGAGCGAACAGG